rnacentral:rRNA from 1 species
CACGUAGGGCGCAAGCGUUGUCCGGAAUUAUUGGGCGUAAAGAGCUCGUAGGCGGACUGUCACGUCUGCUGUGAAAAGCUAGGGCUUAACCCUGGCCUUGCAGUGGAUACGGGCAGACUAGAGGUAGGUAGGGGAGAAUGGAAUUCCCGGUGUAGCGGUGAAAUGCGCAGAUAUCGGGAGGAACACCAAUUGCGAAGGCAGCUCGCUGGGACGUUACUGACGCUGAGACGCGAAAGCGUGGGGAGCAAACAGG